rnacentral:rRNA from 1 species
AGCAGCCGCGGUAAUUCCAGCUCCAAUAGCGUAUAUUAAAGUUGUUGCAGUUAAAAAGCUCGUAGUUGAAUUUCGGGAUCAAAUUGUCGGUCGUGCCUCGGUACGUACUGGCGUUAUUGGUUCCUCCCUUCUGAAGAACCGCGAUGUCAUUAAUUUGGUGUCGCGGGGAAUCAGGACUGUUACUUUGAAAAAUUAGAAGUGUUUAAAGCAGGCUCGCGCUUGAAUACAUUAGCAUGGAAUAAUGAAAUAGGACGUUUGAUUCUAUUUUGUUGGUUUCUAGGAUCGACGUACUGAUUAAUAGGGAUAGUUGGGGGCAUUAGUAUUCAAUUUGUACAGAGGUGAAAUUCUUGGAUUUAUUGUAAGACUAACUACUGCGAAAGC